CAUACGAAUAGGCAAACCUGCCGAAAGGCAGGGACGCAAAGCUUAGGAGUCUGAUUCAUACUGCGGUCAAUCCGCAGGUGAAAGACAGUCCGGCCGCAUGA
rnacentral:ncRNA from 2 species